CACGUCUCGCGCAGGCGCCUUCCGCUCCGGGGCGCUGGACAGGAGCCGACGAGGUGGGCCAGCGGUGCCGGGAGUGAGCUACUACGCGCGCUAAACGCCGCGUCGGGGCGGUGAGCGCCUGUCGGGUGGAGUGGUCUCAUCUUCCGAAGCGUGCUCCUCGAGCCUAUGCAGCCCCCCAGGUUGCAGGGCCCGGUCCCCCGGUCCCCGUGGGCGCCCACGCAGGUGGCGCCUUCCCGUCCAGUGGCCGUGCGCUGGAAUUUGAGGAGGCCCAGUGGAGAACGUUGAACCCGAGUAUAGACACCGUUGGGGUUCCCUCUGCUUGAUCCAAAUGAGAUGGGGCUGCUCUGCUUUCUGCCCCGAGGCUCUUCUGACUUUGCCUACCCGAGGCCAGCAGUAGCUCUCUCAGCUCACACCAUGCACAGCUUUGAAGUGUUGAAAUACACAUGCAUUUGGGUAGUGUCAUGCUUUGGAAGACACCCUGAAGUAUAGGCAAGAAGAUCCCUUGCUUGAAAGAUUAGAACCACCACCGCCCCCUACAACAACAAAACCAACAAAACCCAAGGAAAGCGAGUUUUGUGGCAAUAACAGCACAAGCCCAAGUCAAGCUAUCUUUCCAGUCUUGGCAACUGGUGCAGCCUUUUUUCUUCUCUGUUUUUCUCUCUGUGUCAUCUAUAGAUUAUAGAAGAGAUGUCCUACCAUUGGCUGUUUCAAUCAACCCAGUACAUUCUCCCCAUACACUCCACGUCAUUUAAAAUGGAAAUUCAGGGUUUAUAUUGAAGUCUUUGUGGCCUUAUAUUCACACAUGCUGGCUUUUGCUCUAUCAUUUCCAAAAACUCAAAGAGGAUAGUGUAAAACAUAGAAUGAAAGCAGGUGUCACCUGGAUAUCUCUGUCCAAUAUUUGGAGGAAGACUUCUGGGAAAUGGCUGGCAGUUCACGAUGUCUAUUGAAGCAAAUAAACUCUGUACAAUGAGAGAUUUGCAAGAAUCCUUAAAAUUUCUGCAGUUCCUAGGUUAAUGUGGCCUGAAAACAUUCCUCUGGAAGCAAUGGAGCAGCAAAUACCUUUCUCAUAUGCACUGCCUGCGAGAGUGGCGCUUGAAUUAGUUCCAACAGAACUGGAGAGGAGGAGAGGAGAGGCACACGUCUGAAAUGCCCAUCACGAGUCAGGCGCUGGCCCAGAGAUCUGUUACUAGAAGCCAAAGAGGAAUGAUGACCUGGGACAGAGCAUCGAGUCAGCUUGACUGACAGCAGGCAGAGGAGGGCAUUUGGCAUCCAGACGCUUUGAGUUCCACGCUCAUAACACAUUGCAACAGGCUUCAAGGAAAGGAACAAACAAAUUUAAGCAACACACGUUGGUGAUCAUCCAGAAGCCUGUGAAUUAAGUAGGGAGGUGCAAUGGACUUACUGUCCGAGGCUCAGAAAUUCUGAGAAGCUGCGAAUGGUAAUGUAGUGACGUUCUCAGGAUCAAGUGACAAUGCCUACAUCUUCGUAGUCAAGUUCAGUCUACAAAAAUCCUACACAUUUGCCCAUCACUGGGUACAAAUCUAGUAUGACAUUAAGACUUUGUAACAGGUUUCUGCAAACACAUUUUAAAUGUUUUUUUCUUUCUCACUAGAACUUUAAGGCUACUCUUUUCCUACUGCACUUCUAUGCAAAUGAAAAGGUAGAUUCUUAUCUUUCACCAGGGAGCCUUUCGGGUAUAUAAAUGUAGGUCAUAGCCAUGUGUGUUUGAUUUAUUGCGCAGACCAUGGUAGCGUUCCGCAUGGCCAUUGGUGUUCAAGGUUUAAAUGUUGCAUGUCUCCUAGUGGGACUAUUAUAUCCUAAGUACAAUUCUUACAAUUUAGUUUUUGUCUUUCCCCCUAUAUUUAAUCUCAGAUUAUACCAUAAAGGUAAACAGCUGCAGAAACAGAAGAAAGCCCAAAGUCCAAUGGAGUUGGAUAAUCUGAAAAGGGCUGAUAAGAUCUUUUCAGUCUCAGCAGAGCAAGGCCAGAGGGCGGUGUGUGGUUUGCUUCAUGCUCACCAGAAUGUUCUCUCAUUUCACACAGAGUCAGUCCUGUUACGUUGAGGACACAGUGUUCUAACGCUAGAGAAGCUGUCUUGUUUUUUAGUUAUUACGUGUGACCAAAUGUAUUCUGCUUAAUUACAAAAACAUGAUGAUGCCAGCAAUCUGAUAAACUAUCAGGGGAUUGAAAAUCAGGUUUGAGGCAUGUCUGUGUCCUCUGAUGCUUCCAAUUUUACUGGCGGAACAUAAUAUAGAUAGUUUUAUCUGGAAACGCCUCCAGCAAAUUCAAUGCUUUUCCUAGUUCUUUCCAGGAGCAUUUUAUACCCAUGGAUUAUUUGUGGAAUACUUUUC